rnacentral:lncRNA from 1 species
AGAGGAGGACGAGGCGCGGCGGUGGGGGUAGUGUAUAUUGGCUUUGGGCAUUUCACUACGCGGGUAGUGAGACUCGACUCUUUAUUGCAGAGCCCCGAACAGGAGAGAGAGAGAGAGGGAGAGGUGGCGACACUUUGCGAAGGUGAAGGGUGGGAGGAGUGGAGGGGAUUAGAGAGAGAGAGGCCACAUUGCGGAAACCAACAGAGGGUUUAAAUUGUGUGGAGAUAAAAACAGAUUUAUUAUUAAAGUGUAGUGGAAAGAGACAAGGAAAAGUUUCUGAAAUUUCUGCUAAUCUCACCGACCUCAAAAGCAAUCUCAAUCUCAAUCUCAAUCUUAAUCUUAAUCUCUCUCUCUCUCUCUCUCUCACUGUGUGUUGGUUUNAUGUAAUGAGAGAGAGAGAGAGAGAGAGAGAGAGAGGUGUAGAGGAGGAGGAGGAGGAGAGAGAGUUGUAAUUGUUGUUUUCUUCUUCCUCUUCCUGAGCUCCACGCUCUCCAGAGUUUGGUCCCCAACGUAGCUGGGUGUCAAAUAGGCGAUCUACUUUGAUAGGGAAACAGUCGCACGUCACGCGUCUCCUAAUCGAAAAUAAAUAUAAAGAAAUAACUAAAAGGGGAAAUUAAAAAGGUUGGGAUCGAAAGCAGGAGAAAAUGUGAUUUGAUUCCUUAAUUGGCGACUUAUAAUUCUAUAUUUUUAAGUAUUUAAGUCAAUAUUGUAAAAUUAGGCUAGGUUUUCGAUGUUAGGAUAAAGAGAUUUGUGAUUACAAUGAUAGUGGUCCCUUUUUACGCCUUGUUUGGUUGAGGAACAAGGGUGAGAACUGAGGAUAAGGGGUUAUCCUCCCUUGUUCCCCAAACACNAGCAAAACGUAGAAGCAGCACAGAGCCGUGGCCUUGAACCAGCAACCCCCCCCCGCCGCCGCCGCCGCCGCAGAGCCCGAAUUGGCGGUGGAUUGGGCACGGAUUGAGGCGUUCGGGGGCUCUUUGGAGCCCGCUCGGAACACCCUCCGCCCCAAAGCGAGCAAGAGGAAGAAGAGGAUGAGCGCCGAUUGCGCGAGAACGGAGGCCUUCUCGAGCAAGGGCAGGGAAUCGAAGGAGGAGGAGGAGGAGGAGGAGAGGGGAGACGAAGACGAAGCCAUCUCCCGGAAUGGGAAUUGGGGCGGCGCAGAGCUUGGAUCUUCUUCGGGCGAGAUUCGGAAGAGGAGGACGAGGCGCGGCGGUGGGGAUAGUGUAUAUUGGCUUUGAGCAUUUCACUACGCGGGUAGUGAAACUCGACUCUUUAUUGCAGAGCCCCGAGGAGGAGAGAGAGAGAGAGAGAGGUGGCGACACUUUGCGAAGGUGAAGGGUGGGAGGAGUGGAGGGGAUUAGAGAGAGAGAGGCCACAUUGCGGAAACCAACAGAGGGUUUAAAUUGUGUGGAGAUGAAAACAGAUUUAUUAUUAAAGUGUAGUGGAAAGAGACAAGGAAAAGUUUCUGAAAUUUCUGCUAAUCUCACCGACCUCAAAAGCAAUCUCAAUCUCAAUCUUAAUCUUAAUCUCUCUUUCUCACUGUGUGUUGGUUUUUUUUUUUUUUUUUUUUUUUUUUUUUUUUUUUUUUUUUUU